AUAAAGUGUCGCGCCUCGUGCUUCCGUUACGUUACUCUUCCUUGCACCUGCCACCUGGUGGUAUCCGCCUUAGCCCACAAUGGCUUCCGGCGCACGCACACCAUGGUCACACGACAGCACGAUACGGAUGCAAGGAUACCAGGAUACAGGGGUAUGCCCGCUCUUGUUGCAACAGUAAGCGGCAGGAUUAGCCGGCUAUUCAUCUGUUCAUCUGCUCAUCGUCUCAUCCCUGGAAGGUACUGUGUCCUGUGGCAAAACCAUUGACAGUGUCUGGCCCACAAAACUGCUGCUGGAACCAAGGGGAAUAGCUUUUCAGUCACUGAAAGAAAUUAUUAAUAGAAAAUUGGUAUAAUACUGAAAAUUUUAAAGUGAUUUGCCAUAUUAAGUUAGAUCCAAGAGUUAUUGAUCUUAGAAAAGGUAUAGUUUCCAGAGACCUAGGACUUAACAGGACUAUUCUCCAAAUCGUGUUUGAAAUUCAAAUAAAAUCCAAAUUACCUCAAAUUUAUAAAAUACAGGAUUGCUUAUUCGAGGAAAAUAUAAAGAGAAUGCUACCGAGGAAAGAAACCAAUGGUUGACAGAAAUGUGGUGAAAAACAAAAGGAUGCCUUCAUGUGGGUGCAAAGAGAAGCUGGACAACCCAAAUAGCAGGUGGCCUUGGAGGGGUUGCCUUUUUUCCCCCCUUUUUUGGGGUGGCAUUCUCGACUCGACUGUUCACACGCAGUCAGAGGUCUUUGGUUAGGUGACCAGCACUCAGUUUAUUUAAUUGAAAGGUCAGUCUGCAGCAUACAGUUUCCGAAAUUGCUCGGCUUGGCAGAGACCAGAAUGUUGAUUAAAGGGAAAAUACAAAAGGAUAUGAAAAAGGAUAAUCUAGUAAACCUACAUAAACUAUUCAAAAAAUAAAACUCAAUUUGGAAGAACAAAGCACAAAUUCCAGUGUCUGAAUGUAAUUUGUUGGCCAAUACCUUGAAUCAAAAAUUGUAACAUUCAUUGCAAUGGAAAAUACCUAAAACCACUCAGCGUCAAAGUUGGUAGAACUAUCGAAUCCAACUAUUGGUAACAAUUACAUCAUUUCAUAGACAGAACGAAAUUGAACAAGCUCUUUUUGGACGGGGGAAUGAUGGCUCCUGGGGACGCUGCUCUUGUGCCCAAAACUCGCUGGAACAAUUAGCUCAAAAGGUUGGGGGUUUUUGGGGCUCGGAAUGAUUCAAAGAGCGCGUCGUCGACAACUGAAGCCCUAUGAAAAAGUUUCAGUUUUUGCGCAAACAAAUUGGAUUAUUCGAUUACGUGUUUGUACAAGCGCAUUGUGCGACCAAGGGGAAGGCGGGCCGACCGGGGUGGAGUGCUGGAAAAUCAGUAAUGCUGUAAAUUGCAUUUCCCUUCAGGGGUUAGACAAUAUCCCCGGGGUUUCAGAAAAAUAGACGGAUGGCGUUUGAUGGAGAGGUGGAGCAGGAAAAUCUGUCAAUUUUAUGGGGAAAGCGCAGCGUUAAAUGCAUAAGCGGAAGUCAAAGUAUUUUUUGUUUUGAUAGAUGAGACUUGGAGGAAGUUAAGGAUGGCAUUUCUGACGGAAGUCCAGGAUUAAGUAAUCUCCAAGGUGGGAAAAUUUCAUCUAUCAAACGCCGGGAAAAAAUGGGUCAUUGGAAAAAGAAUCCCCUAAAGUCGAUUCAGAGGUUUUUUGCGCAAAAAAAUAUGAAUAAGAACAAUUGACCGACCUAAUCUCAGCUGCCUCUGAAGUAAGUAUAAUAUAACACGAAAAUAAUCAUUAUUUAAACGAAUAUAAGAUACUUACUUGGAAACUUUUAAAAUCGUAUCAUAAAAAUAAUAUAUGACUAAGACAUGUAUGACAGCCAAAUCUCUGCCAAAUUCCGUGUGUAAAAUCAGUGUAAUAUUUUUUUUUUUGCUCCUGCAAUCAAUAUCGUCUUUUGACACAAGUUUCAUUAGAGAACAUAUUGAACCUUGGAAGGAAGGACUGCUCCUUUUCCCCCACUGAGUCAAGAUGAGCAAGGAGCAAGUGGCAAAAAGUGAGGAGAUGCACGUGCCAAAAGUCUCAAGUUUAGCUGUUGCUGUGGCUACUCGCAAAAAAUUUGCUCCGGGCGCUUUUAGCAAAAGUGUAACGAAGGACGGGGGACUGCGACUGGCAGGAAGGGCAUGAAGGACGAGGUGGCAGCCGGAAAAUUGAGGAAAAACUGAGACUGGGUUGGGAUGAGCACACAGAGAUGACGACAGCUUGGGCUUGUCAUGGCAGAACGCGACGUGAGCGGUGGCUUGGCCUUUGGCAAUUUUCUUAUUGCAUGCAUGUGGCAGCUAAAAAAAUACUGGCCAGGAACAAAACGUAGAGGGCAAAAAGGAUUGGGCCGGUAACGACAAAUAGUGUUGCAUAUUUAUGUGCGCAUCCACACAAAACAGGACUUUUGUAAUUAAAACGAGAGUGAAAAUGGUUUACUAUG